UUAGCAUGGAAUAAUGGAAUAGGACGUGGGGUUCUAUUUUGUUGGUUUCUAGGACCGCCGUAAUGAUUAAUAGGGACAGUCGGGGGCAUCAGUAUUCAAUUGUCAGAGGUGAAAUUCUUGGAUUUAUUGAAGACUAACUACUGCGAAAGCAUUUGCCAAGGAUGUUUUCAUUAAUCAGGAACGAAAGUUAGGGGAUCGAAGACGAUCAGAUACCGUCGUAGUCUUAACCAUAAACUAUGCCGACUAGGGAUCGGACGGUGUUAUUUUUUGACCCGUUCGGCACCUUACGAGAAAUCAAAGUGCUUGGGCUCCAGGGGGAGUAUGGUCGCAAGGCUGAAACUUAAAGAAAUUGACGGAAGGGCACCACCAGGCGUGGAGCCUGCGGCUUAAUUUGACUCAACCCGGGGAAACUCACCAGGUCCAGA
rnacentral:rRNA from 1 species